rnacentral:lncRNA from 1 species
CUUAAUAUAGGAGUAAUAUAUUUUUAGAUGUAAGAGCAUCUAUAGACAGUCUCCUUAAAACCGGCUCCUCAAACGUCCGGACGCGUUCGUGGAUAUUAACCAGUCACACCUUAAAUAAUGCAGUCUAUAUCGGGACAUCUCAUAUUAUGAUCCUCGAAUCCAAACAAAACAUGCAAGAAAUGAAACCUACUUAGUACGUACAACCUAGCUACUCCUCGUCGGAGAUGACGACGAUCUCCGUGCCCUCCGCUGGAUAAAUGGCCGCCUGUCGCAGUUCCGCCCCCUC